AAAAAACGACGGAUUCAGUUCUUAGGCCACAUAAUAAGAAACUCUGAUAAUAACUUAGUCCAUGAUGCCAUUACAUGGCUGUACUCAUAUAAUGGAAAACAAUACACGAAAUACAAAACAUUAUGGUAUUAUAAAACAAUAAAAGAUAUAAUGGACCUAAAUGUGAAUAUAAAACAAUUCAUUAAACUGAAUAAUAAUAAAAGAUCCAUUAAAAAGAUGUUUCGCAUCAAGAAAAGUUACCUCUAAUAUGUAUAAAAAUACAUCUCAAAAUUCAAGAUUCACUAUCAUUACCCAAUAAUCCCUAUCUUAUAAUUCCUAUCGUAAUAAAUUUCAAAAAUUAUACUCAUUAUUAUCAAAUAUUUCCAAUACCAACAAACACUCAAAUCCUCUUACAUUGACUUCCGUUGAAUGGUUGAAUACUUUCACAUAACUUAAAACUCUAGCUAUGAAUGAUUGGAAGUCAUUCCCAAUUCAAAAUCUCGACUUCUCAUGAUUGGUGAGCAACUACACAUAUCCAUAGCUCUUCGCCUUUCCUGUAAAGCAGUUAUAUCCUCUAUUUACAUAGAUUGUGCUUAGUCCAAAUACCUAGCAUACCCUGAACUCCUGCGAACGGCAACCCAUUAAUACGAACGGUCUCCCACGUAUCACAAAGAAGAUAAAUUACAAAGGAAGCAAUGACCAGCGGCUACAUGGCAGAAAAUUUGAUGAAGGCAAACCCCUAGGCUACAUUAACCCCUCUAAAAAAAUUCCGCGCUCUUUAGCCGCGAUAUUCACCAAACCACGAUGCUAUAGUGAUAUCAAUAAAGAAAAAAUCUUAUAAUAAGCUAACAUUGAUUUACAACAAAAUUUUAUUUACAUCAUUUUAGGCCUAUUUAGGUUAGAAAAAUCGAUUAAAUCUCUAAUUCUUGCUAAUAAUCAAUUGGCAAUCGAAAAGCUGUUUGGGUCACACCAUAUGGAUUGAUCACUGAAUGAGGAGAAAAUAUAAUCUGGGAAUGUUCAAUAACUUUGGGUGUUUGCUAAUUAUUAAAUAAAGAAUAUAGUUAAAAUUUGUUUAUCGAAUAUCUUAUUUUAAUUAAUAUAAUAUCUAAAGUAUUUGGAAAAAAUUUUUAUUUGAUUUAUUAUAUUCUUACUGAAAUUUAUUAUUAAGUUAAUCAUAUAUGUUAACAUCUAUACUUUUUAAAAAAUUAACAAAUAAGAAUAACAUUAAUAUUUUACAUGUGAAAUCGUAAAAUGUCAUGGUAAAAAAAAAUUAAUAAUAAGGCAAAAUAAUAUUAAAAUUAAAAUAUAAAAUAUAAAAUAAAAUAAAACAUUAUAUUAACGGGGGUGGGACUACAAGUUCCCAAAAAACAUGUUGAUAUGAUAGUAAAGAAUAAUUGCUAAAAGGAUUAUAUUUGAAAUUAAAAAUUUAUAAUUUUUUAUUAUUUGUUAAUAGACAGAUCAGAUCAAUUAUUGAAUUUGAAAAGAAUAUAAUUAAAGUUAAAAACCACCCUCCAAAAACCUACAUAAUAUUUAAACUGUAGGCUUUUGGAGUAAUCUCCUUAGAUUAUGAUGGUAUACAUUGUAUGAAGCCUAUAACUUGUUAAUAAUACACUGGAGGCAAUAUGGGCCAAAGAAUGCUCUUAUUGGUAAGCCAAUGUAUAUGAAAAGUAGGUUGGAAAAUUAUAACGAUACCAGUUAUUUAUUAUAUUUUUUUUAGGAAUAAAUUGGUUUUUGCUAUCAAAUAUUAUUAGGUCUCCUUUAUAGUUAGCGCAACAUCGCAUAGCUCUGCUUUAAUUUAAAAAUACAUUAUGUUAGAUCAUACCACUAUACUAUUUUUAAUUAAGCCGGCGCGCCAAAUCUUAUGAUUGCUCUCGUCCUCUCUACGUCCCUUACUCUCAGGACUUCUAACAGAACAGUUCUUCUAUGAUAUAUUAUCAAUAAGUGUUAGGUUUAUUAUGUUAGAGACUUUACUAUGAAAAUAUUUAAACUUCUCAAAAGUUUGACAAAAAUUAUUAACAAAGCAAAAUGACAAGAUCUUGCAAAACAUCGUUUACAAAAAAAAGCAUAUAAAUGACGUAAAAGUCAUGAAAAAUGAUGUAAUCUAAUUACGCAUAAAAAUUUUAGAAUUAAGCAUCAUUAUCUAAUUUUUAGUUUGUUAUAAUAACGAUUUUUUUAAAAAUUUUAUACUAAUUAAACUUUUCAGCAAUCUAUUCAAUGGACAAAAAAAAGAGUAAUAUAAAUCCUAAAGGUAAAUUUUAUUUGUAUAGAUAACAUUAUGUUGAAGGAGAGCGUUUUAAAAAAUUAAUUAACAUUUUAAUUAUAUCGCAUUUAAUUUUUUUUUAUACAAAUAGCCUCCAUUCACAAUGGUUCUAUUCCUAGACCAACCCCUAAAAGAGGGCACCCAUAUAUGAAUCCAAUUAUUAUGGGGUAAUCAAAUAUUUUAAAUGUAAUCUAAAGGAUCCUAUAUAAUUAGAUAUUUGUGAGGAGGUAUUAAAUAAUUAUUUUCGCCAAAUUUGUGUAUAAUAGCUAAGUAAAACUAGCCAUUAAUAUUAGAUUAAGUCAUUUAUUAGAUUAAAAAAAUGUCAACAUAUUGGAAUAAAAGCGGUGUAAAUUCCUGAUUUCGUGGUUAUAUUUAAAAAAAAAAACUUUUUGAAGUCUUAUGGGAAAAAGUGAUCUUUGAAAAGGCAAGUUGGGCAAGAAAAAAAUAUAUACUUAAAGACAUAGACAUUUAAAAAAUAUAUAUUCUCAAUUAAAUUUUUAGAAAUCUCCUUUGCAUUUGACAAAACACCAAAUUAUCGGCGAACGUCGAUUCCCCGUAUAUCCCAAUAUAUUUUGUCUUUAAAUAUAUAUUUUUUUUCUUUCCCAACUUGCCUUUUGACUAAAAUAAAAACAAACCCUAAAAGAUCCCUCAUUUAAAGACUUCAAAAAGUCUUCCUUUUUUUUUAAAUAUAACCAUGAAAUCAGGAAUUUACACCACUUUUAUUCCAAUCUAAUAAAUGACUUAAUCUAAUAUUAAUCGCGAGUUAGCAAAAAUAAUUACUUGAUACCUCCUCACCAAUAUCAAAUUAUAUAGGAUCUUUUAGAUUCAAUUUAAAAUGCUAAAUUGCCCACAAUAACUGGAUUCAUAUAUGGAUGCCCUCUUUUAAAGGUUGGUCUAGGAAUAGAACCAUUGUGAAUGGAGGCUAUUUGUUUUUAAAAAAAUUUUAGCGAUAUAAUUAAAAUGUUAAUUAAUUUUUUAAGACGCUCAUAGGGACUAUAUUAUUUUUUUUUGCCAUUGAAUAGAUUGCUGAAAAGUUUAAUUAGUAUAAAAUUUUUAAAAAAAUCGUUAUUAUAACGAACUAAAAAUCAAAUAAUGAUGCUUAAUUCUAAAAUUUUUAUGCGUGAUUAGAUUGUUACAUCAUUUUUCAUGACUGUUACGUUGCAUUUUUGUAAAAGAUUACAAGAUCUUGUCAUUUUGCUUGGUUAAUAAUUUUUGUCAAACUUUUGAGGAGUUUCAAUAUUUCCUUGGUCUCUAAAGUCUCUAACAUAAUUAACCUAACACUUAUUAAUAAUAUAUCAUAGAAGAACUGUUUUGUUCGAAGUCCUAGGAUCAUCGAGAGUAAGGGACGUCAAGGGGCGAGUGCAAUCACAAGAUUUGGCUUGCCGGCUUAAUUAAAAAAAAUAUAGUGGUAUGAUCUAACAUAAUGUAUUUUUCAAUUAAAGCUGAGCGAUGCUAUGCUUUAACUAUAAAGGAGAACAGCAAAAAUCAAUUUAUUCCUAAAAAAAUAUAUAAUAAAUACCUGGUAUCUUUUUAAUUUUUCCCAAUGGGAAUCCAACCAUCGACCAUUUACUUAUUUAAUAACAUACAUAUAUCUUUCUCUCGGAGCUACACCUUUUAUUACAAAGUCGUUAUUUAAUAUUAAUUUAAUACAAAUUAUUUAUCAAAUGUUAAAUUCUUUUUUUAGUCACGUCAAGCCGACCUGAACUGACCCAUUAAUAUUUUUUUCUGACCCGACUUUUAAAAUAAUUUUUUACAACUUAUCCGCUAAGAUAAGAAGUAAAAACGCAAGAAAACUCAAAAAAAAGCUACAAAAUAAUGGCAGGUUCGUAAAUAAUAUUUUUCACAAGUUCCGGUCAGGAAACUGACCAGCAGGCAUGACUCCGCAGAUUUUUAAUAUAAAUUAGGUUUGAAAGGAUAUUUAACAGCCAUAAUAAUAGAAAUAUUUAUUUAAAAAAUUAAUAUAUAUGGAUUUUCUUUUCGUUUAUAGCUUUGACGAUUUUCGUACAAUGGUCUAUAAACUGACACGUGUUUAAUCCCGUAAAUAUUUUACUUGACUCUAGGGAUAACAAAAUUUUAGGCAUAUACAUGUGUCCAUUUUCCUAAAUAAAAGAACUAUACUUUACAAUCAUUACAGCGGUAUUUAUCUCAUCUUUGGAUAGAAUUGUGAAAACCAUUUCAAUCAAUGCAAAUCUAAUUCCAAUUAUUUCGACCUAUAAUGCAACCAUCUUGUUCAGAAUGAUCUUCAAAUUAUCAGGCUACUAUUAAAUAUAUUAUAGCACGGCUGACAAUGUUUUAGAAGUGAGAGAUGAAUAUUGGUAGUUAUUUAAUCUCAUUUUUUCUGGAUCAAAGUUAUUUUCAAACGUUAAAUAUGUUCGUCAAUAUUUUUGAAGAGAAUGAAUUAUGAUAACUGUCUUUUUAUUAUCUACACAUUUCAUAACGGUUCAAAAUUGAUUAAAGUAGCCGAUAUAAAACAGAGCAAGUUUCCAAUGAUAAACUGGAAGUGUAUACUUUCAAAAUUUAAAUAUGAAUAAUAAAAAAUAUUUAGUUUGUGGGAUUAUUUUAUUUAUUUGUAAAAAAAAUAAAUAAUUAUGUAUAAAAUAAAUUCUAAUUUUUAAGGGGCUAUAUACGGCAUCUACCUGGCAGAAAUUUGAUGGAAGCAAACCCCCUACAAGAUCUACCCCUACCCCCCUAAUAAAAUUCCGCCCCCGAAGGCUGCGAUAUUCACAACCACGAUGCUAUAGUGAAAUUAAUAAAAAAGAAUCGUAUAAUAAGCUAGCACUUAUAAACUCACAACAAAAUUUUAUGUAAAUCCUUUCAAGCCUAUUUAGGCUAGAAAAAACAAUUAAUCUCAAUUUUUUGCUAAUAAUCAAUCGGCAACUAAAAUGGUGCUUGGGCUAUUCCAUUAGGAUUGUUCAUUGAAUGAAAAUAAAAUAUAAUUUGGGAAUCUUCAAUAACUUUGGAUGUAUGCUAAUUAUUGAAUUAAAAAAUGUAGUUAAAAUUUGUUAACCUAUCGAAAAUCUUAUUUUUAAUAAUAAUAUUUAAAGUAUUUUGCUAAAAUUUUAAAU